rnacentral:tRNA from 1 species
GAGGGUACAGCUCAGUGGUAGAGCGUACUUAGCACACACGAGGUCCUGGGUUCAAUUCCCAGUACCUCCA